rnacentral:lncRNA from 1 species
CAAGGUUUAAGAUUGUGGUAACAUCAAUCAAGUAAGUAGUAAGAUGAUGGCUUUUGCUUCCUCCUAUGUUUCUCAAUUUCAUCACACCUUCUUACUUACUGAGAGAUUUUGCUUACAGUUACUUAUUAAGUGGCGCCUGAAUGGGGUUCAACAACGUUACAAGAAAUCUCCCUCCCUUCUUGGUAACCGUUGUUUAACUGGAUCAAUUCCACCGGAACUAGGCAAUAUCACCACCCUCAUAAAACUGACCUCUUCCAUCCGAGUUAGGGAGAUUAACAAAUUUGAGUAAAUUGAUGGAUGUUGUCUUCAAACAUGUUGACCGGAAAGCUGCCAGCGACCCUUGGUCAACUAGGAAAUCUAAAAGACUUGAUAAACGAAAACAAUUUCUGUGAGUGGGUCAAUACCUGAUUUUAUACAAAACUGGAGAUUACUUACUAGAUUAGAGAUGGUGACUCAUGGGACCUAUUCCUUCAAACAUAUCUCUUCUUGAGAAUCUAAUUGAUCUGAGAAUUGGUGAAAUAGCCGGACCCGCUCAACCUUUUCCUCAGCUCAACAAUACUCAUGGAUUAAUGUAGAGAUUUCUAGCAUUGACUAUUGUGUUGACUCGUUGGAGCUCUGAUAUUCCAUUCAUAA